AUUGAACGCUGGCGGCAGGCCUAACACAUGCAAGUCGAACGAGAGGCGGACGGGCGAGUAAUGGUUGGGAAUCUGGCUUAUGGAGGGGGAUAACGACGAGAAACUGUGGCUAAUAGCGCUAACCGUGCGAUGAGCUCACGGGGGAUUAGGGAGUUGGUGGGGUAAUGGCCCACCAAGCCGACGAUCCCUAGCUGGUCUGAGAGGAUGACCGGCCACACGGGGACUGAGACACGGCCCGGACUCCUACGGGAGGCAGCAGUAGGGAAUCUUGCGCAAUGGGGGAAAGCUGACGCAGCAAUGCCGCGUGAAUGAAGAAGGCCUUCGGGUCGUAAAGCUCUUUCGGUGGAGAGGCGUUAACCACACAAGAAGCACCGGCUAACUACGUGCCAGCAGCCGCGGUAAUAC
rnacentral:rRNA from 1 species